GCGGGCUCAAAUGGCGGCGGCGCUGGGCGCCUAGGCCGGCGGGGGCCAUGAGCGCCGCCCGGCCCCAGUUUAGCAUCGAUGAUGCCUUCGAGCUGACCCUGGAGGACGCGGGGCCUGAGCCCGAGUCCAGCGGGGUCGCCCGCUUCGGGCCGCUGCACUUCGAACGCCGGGCUCGGUUCGAGGUGGCUGAUGAAGACAAGCAGUCCCGGCUACGCUACCAGAACCUGGAAAAUGAUGAGGACAGAGCCCAGGCCUCUCCGGAGCCGGAUGGGGGAGUCAGCACCAGGUCAGGGCCAGGGAUUCUGGGCACAUGUCUGUCCGCAGCUCGCAGUGGUCCUUCAGCACCAUCAGCAGCAGCACACAGCGCUCCUACAACGCCUGCUGCAGCUGGACCCAACAUCCUUUGAUCCAGAAAAACCGCCGAGUAGUGCUGGCCUCCUUCCUGCUUCUGCUGUUGGGGCUAGUGCUUAUCCUGGUCGGCGUGGGACUGGAGGUGGCCCCCUCUCCAGGUGUCUCCAGUGCCAUCUUCUUUGUGCCGGGCAUCCUGCUGUUAGUCCCAGGAGUCUACCAUGUGAUCUUCAUCUACUGCGCUGUCAAGGGCCGCCGGGGCUUCCAAUUCUUCUACCUGCCCUACUUUGAGAAGUGAGCUGCAACUGGCCAGUGGCUCACCAGUGAUCCAAGACCUCAGGUCACCUCCACGUGUCCACAGGGUAUUCCUCCAACCUACACCUGGUUCUGUUCCUUUCACCUGGAAGGCAGAGGCCCCUGGGACCCUCACAACCAGCAGGCCCCUUUGAAUUUGCUCAGGAAGUUUAGAGCCAGCCUGGGAAUAUUGCCUCUUACCUGAUGUGUGCCUUAACUUAUUCCUGGGUUCUGGACUCCUGGGUUGGUGUAAUUUUGUGCUAAUAAAAGGGUAAUUAUUUCCAACAAGGA
ensembl:processed_transcript Tmem134 transmembrane protein 134